rnacentral:rRNA from 1 species
UACAGAGGUGGCAAGCGUUGUUCGGAAUUACUGGGCGUAAAGGGCGCGUAGGCGGCCAGCUAAGUCAUACGUGAAAUCCCUCGGCUUAACCGGGGAACUGCGCCUGAUACUGGUUGGCUUGAGUUUGGGAGAGGGACGCGGAAUUCCAGGUGUAGCGGUGAAAUGCGUAGAUAUCUGGAGGAACACCGGUGGCGAAGGCGGCGUCCUGGACCAAUACUGACACUGAGGAGCGAAAGCCAGGGGAGCAAACGGG